AAUAAGUGCAGUUUUGCACUAUUCACGUUCAAUGUUUGACUGUUCGUCUUAUUUGAAAAAAAUUUAUGAUUAGUAUUUGUAUUGCUAUUAGAUGAUAAAACAUGAAUAGUACUCUAUGUGUGACUAAAUAUCUUCAAAUUUUUCAAAUAAGACGGAUGGUUAAACGUUGGGCACGGAUAUCCACGGCUGCACUUAUU
rnacentral:pre_miRNA from 1 species